rnacentral:lncRNA from 1 species
AGCCUGUGACACAGACUUGAUGUGAUUAAACAAAGGCUUUUCUCCAAAUUUAAAGCUCUUAAAAAAAAAAGCUGAAUCUAAUACUCUAACUUGUUUUUAAAUGGGAGCAGAUGCCUCUGUUUCUUGAGCUGACUUCCAGAUUCUGAGAAAUAAAUGAAGAGUGGAGGCUUGUUUUGGUAGAGGCUGAGAAAAGGAGUUGGCCAUAUUUGCCCUUCAGAACUUCGUGUCAUCCCCCAGCUCCCCAACGGCAGGGCCACAUUCUUUCACAGGACGGAGUUGGGGCAGAUUAUGGCUUCCUCUGGAUUGGAUUUCCCUUGGCUUCCCUGAGGGCAAUCCCCCGAGGAAGCACAUCCUGGAGCCAAACUCACCCAAUGAACCACAGCAACAGCUCCUAGGAGAAUGAAGAGUGUGAAUGGAUGGCCUUUUCAAAAUGAUGAGCCUGGAAGAGUUACAGACUCUGGCCCGAAAGAACCAAAGUUGAAGGUAGAGAUGUUUUAAGGAUGAGCAGAGCAGAACAACUUAGCAGUGGGAUGUUAAAGGCAACAUGAAUCAAGUAAGUAACUUCCUUUUAAUGUUCCCAAAGUGCUUUCCUUGGGACCUGUUAGAGCAAUUGCCAGAAAAUAUUAACUAUAACAUUUAGCUAUGGUCAUAUCUGUCUCGCCAACGUUCUGUUGGCUCCUCAAGGAAGGGAAUAUAGUUUAUUUCUGCCCCCUCCAUGACUAUUGUCCCAAAGAUGAAAAUGCUGAUCAUUGAAAUCAUUUUAUCAGUCUCUGAACUGACUCUCUGGACUUGAAAUUUUUGCUCAGAAGUGUAACAAUCACCUGAAACUUGGCACAGCCACACAGCUUUCUACCUCUACCUCUCCCAAGUCUGUUUCUUUCCCAUUUCAAUAUCAGUUUCUCAGUGCAAACCUCAAAAGCUAUCCUUGAUUCUUUUGCCAUUUACUCUGUCUUCCAUUCUCCAGCAUCACCGGCAAAACGUAUUCUGAAAUCACCAACUCUUCUUUAUCUCGAUGUUCACUUUAGUUCAAGCCAGGUUGACUGUUGGGAUGGCAUAUCCCAGUGUCCACACUGGUCCCUGUCUCAACCCAGAUCAUUUCCACAUAGCAGCCAGAGUGAUCUUUAAAAAAGUUUUAAAAAAGUUAAAUCUAUGUAUGUCACAUCUGUUCUGUACCCUCCACUGGAUUUCUACCAUAGUUAGGAUAAAAUCCCAAGUUAUUUCUGAGGGAAUGAGGCCCUGCACCCUGCAUCCCCUGGCUUGUCUUCUUUGGCUUCAUCCCGUACACUCUACCCAUUACUCAGCAUGUUACAGCUACAUGGGCAUUCUCUCUGUUCUUUACAUCCAAAGCUCAGUCAGACACUUUCCCUUUCUUCAGCAGCGUAUUCUCUGCUCCAUGAACCCCUGGGGCUGGCUCCUUCACAUCAGUCUGACGUCCAUCUAAAUGUUUAUUUCUCAGCAAGUUCUUACCAGGCCUCUUUGCCUAAAUUAGCACACACACCAACACUCAUUUUUACUACAUCAUUCUGUUUUAUUUUAUUUGGAACAUAUAUGGUUAUUAAGCACUAUCUCUUGUUCAUUUUUUGUGCUCGCUUAUUUUUUGUUUUCUGCCAUGUCAGCCACUCCCUGCUAGAAUGGAAGAUUCAUGGGAGCAGGAACCUUGUUUACUAUGUUCCUUAUUGCAAUCCUAAUGCCUGGAACUCUAACUAAUACGUAGGAGGACUCCACAAUUCAUUGAAAACUGAAGAAAUGAAUUCACUUGCGCAUUUCCAGUUCCAUUCCUGAACUCUUCCUUUAGUGAGAAGCACAUGAUGACCUUGUUAAUAUGAAAAUUGAUAAUGGGGUGAGAGAAGAAAAGAAAAGCAUAAAAUACCUGUCUAAUCCAUGCACCACCAGACACCAGAGCAUGUGGGAAGUGGCCAAGAAGAUGAUGCAGGGACGUCUGAGCCCACUUUCUUAUUGGACUUUCCUAGGAUGCUGCCAGUGACCCCAGAGCCUUUUGUUUUCCUCCAAUAUUCUCAGUGCUUUAAAUAUUUAAUGAUCCUUCAACGUCUCUCUGAAUGCACUCCAAAUUAUGGAAGUCCUGGUUGAGAGUGGGGCCUGGAGCAGUUUAGAACCCUCUAAUCAAAGGCAGGUCCAUCUCUGGAGGAAGUUCCUACCUGGGGCAGAGAACAACUUAUAGCACAGUGCUCCAAAAUUUUCAGAGAACUGUGGGUAAGAUGAAUAUCAAGGUCAGGCUUAAAGUGGAGCAACAAGGGAACGGAUAUCCCAGUUAGCAAUCUGUGGCCCAGGGAGUGAGAGAACUUUAGCCUCAGCCAUUGCAUUUGUAACUGUUUGAGGAUGCAGGAGGGAGGGUCCAGGCUGGGCCUAGAGGACACUGAGACAUAUCUGGGCUUAUCUAAUGAGGUUGAGAAGUUGGUGGGCCACCAGGCUUGCUUAACGGGAGGGUAGAGAUUUUCACAUUGGAGUUUUCAUGUGGUGAUGUGUUUCCUUAGCCUCCCUGUUUUCUAGGAUACAUGGACUAAGGCAUUGGAGUGAGAUAGGAAAAGCUGGAAGGUCUCUAUGAGAUCAUGAGAGGCAGGGGUAAAGGGAUCUGCAGUAACUCAGUGUGACACAGUGUGGAACAGAAUGAUCUCUUUGCCUCUGUGGGGAGGACAGCGUGCCCUAGCACUGUGGCUGGUAGUGUUGGUGUGUCAAGGUCUGUUUCAGGUGGCACUGAAGGCUCUAUGAGCAUUGGCGGCAGAGUGGUGUGUUGGUGAAGAAGGAAAGCCCUAGAGCUCACAGCCAUCGAAGAGACACACCUAAGACAGCUCCUCACACUCCCAGAAAUGUCCUGGGGGAACUUUACAGGGGCUUCACUGGGAUGUGUGUGGGGAGGGCAAAUUUCGGUUAUUAUUUUAAUUGUUAGCCUAACCAUGUCUGCAUCAUGAUACCAUAAGCCAGGGAAACAGUUGGGUCAGAAUUAAUGGAAAUUGUUACUUUUCUCACGCGGUGAUGUUUUAAGUGCCUGCUGAACUCCAUUUCGGGCCCAUAGACUCAGGCCACGCAGGAGUGCCUCAUUUCUGACCUUAUAGAUGACUCAAGUAGGACCCUGAGAGACUGCUGAAAGCUUUCCUUCAUUUUAACUAAUUCAGCACAUAUUCUGUGGUUGCUUUCAGAGAGUAAGGCCUUGUACCAGGAACUUCCACUGUAGCCAAAUAGAAUCUGCAAGCGUGCCAUAAGAGAAAGCCUGGUGCAAGGGACAGAAGAUAGUUCCAGAAUCAAAAGACCUCUGUUUGUAUUUCAGGACAUGUUAUUUUGGGCAAAGAAUCUGAUGUCUCUGGGCUCUAGUACUCUCAACUGUGAAAUGAGAAAAUAUUUUAUGAAUGCAAAAUUGGGACAUAGAGUCUGACCAAGGUUUCCUAUGGGAGUUUCAGGUAUGAGACUCAAACUAGCUCCUAGAGAUUGGGUCUUACAAUGCUUGACUUGGGGCUACAGUUCAAGUGAAUCUAAUAGAAAUGGUUUAGGAUAUUUAAAGCAAAGAUUCCGCUAGACAAUUUUGAAUGAAUUUAGUAUAGAACCUCCCUCGUGGUGGAGUUCUGAGGAUCAAAUGAGGCAAUGAAGGUGGAGGAUAUUUUUAAAAUGUAAAGCACCAAAUAAAUAUUGACCAUUUUAAUUAUUACAUUUUACUACUCUGCAUAAAUCCAGACUUUUGCUUUGUAUUUUAACCCACGUUGCUACCUUGCAGACUUGAGACCCCAGACCUGUCUCUCAUGUUUAUGGAAGAAUCUGACUUUCUGCAGUUCCAAGCAAGCCACUUUCUUGCUUCCUCAGGCACUCAUGAUAAGCACUGAAGGGUACAAUUCUCCACCCACUUAUGUGGGGGAUCCCUUUCCAUGUGGCUUCAUCCUUUCUAUUUCUUAAGUUCAUAUGAAAUAUGGCUCAAAGAAAAGUCUAUCUGAUUCAUGGCCUUUCUCUUUUUUUAAGGUAUGAGAUUUGUUUGUAUUAUUUAAAAUGUAUUCCCUCAUUGUUGUAUACCAUGGGCCUGACCCAAAUCAAAUCAGCAGUUUCUAGGCUUUCUUGCCCAAGACUCCCCAGAUGCUCUUUCUCUGUAUUUCGGUUCUGCUCCCUUUUGCCCUGCACUUCUUUCUGUUGCUGCACUCCGUGGAGUAUCAGACACUAUCUUGGCAUGGCAAUUAGGCUAAUGGUUGGAUUGUGAUAGCCUGAGAAAGCAAUCUGGGUGUCAGGGAUGUCCAUCUAGAAAAAUGUAAGUAAGUGCAAGGAGGGAAGAAGGAAAUGAAAUUCACAGGCCAAACUUCACCAUUAUUUCUCCUUGCAAAGCAAAUAAAUAAGGCCUGAUUUCGGGAACCCAUGCUUUGGUAUAGGUUCAUAGUAGGCUCGUGGGCAACCAGAGGGACAAUACAGUUUUGGGAUAAGGUAGCGUGUAAACUAUGAUUUAAAAAAAAAAUGUAUCCUGUGGUUUUCCUCUGACUCCUCCACAGUUAACCUUCUGAAAAUAAAACCUUAGUGUUGAAAAAAUUACUGGCUAUAAAAGAGAUAAGUUUAUUGAGAAUUCAAGUGGACCAGGGGAUUUUAGGGUCGUUGCUACAUUGCAGAGGAACGACUCAUCAUUUUCUGGCUAUAGGUUGACACUGGUGAAAUUACAAGAUCAUGGGUCUUGGGACCACUCAGCUCCUUCUUCUUCUCUGUCUUCUGCAGUCCCUUCAGAGGAGAGUUUCCACCUCUCAUUUAGUGUUUUUAAGGCACUCAGAUCAUUAGCAUUGUGUGCUUUCUGUCCUAUGCCUUAUAUAACUAGAAGUUAUUAUUAUUCCAGAGUCCAUUAAUGAAGAAAGUACCACUGGGCCUAGAGUUCUUCCUUUUGAUUGUCUUUUUUUAAAUUAGAAAUUCCAC